UGCAUAUCAAUAAGCGGAGGAAAAGAAACUAACAAGGAUUCCCCUAGUAACGGCGAGUGAAGAGGGAAGAGCCCAAGAUUGAAAGCUGGCGUCUUCGGCGUCCGCAUUGUAAUCUCAAGAAGUGUUUUCCGCUUCGGACCAUGCCUAAGUCCCUUGGAAAAGGGCAUCAUAGAGGGUGAUAAUCCCGUACAUGGCAUGGAGCGCCCGUAGCUUUGUGAUACGCUUUCUAAGAGUCGAGUUGUUUGGGAAUGCAGCUCAAAAUGGGUGGUAAAUGCCAUCUAAGGCUAAAUAUUGGGGAGAGACCGAUAGCGAACAAGUACAGUGAUGGAAAGAUGAAAAGAACUUUGAAAAGAGAGUUAAACAGUACGUGAAAUUGCCAAAAGGGAAGGGUAGGAGGUCAGAGAUGCGGCUUGGGAUUCAGCCUUGCUUUUGCAUGGUGUUUUUCCCCUGUUGCAGGCCAACGUCGGUUUUGGGCACUGGAGAAGGGUGAGAGGAACGUGGCAUCCCUCGGGAUGUGUUAUAGCCUCUCACUGGAUACAGCGACCGAGACCGAGGACAGCAGCGUACUCGCAAGAGCGGGCCUUCGGGCACCUUUACGCUUAGGGCGUUGGCAUAAUGGCCCUCUACCACCCGUCUUGAAACACGGACC
rnacentral:rRNA from 1 species